GCUCGGUUAGCUAACUCCUGACGUUUUACUCGUUCUGUUACAGGAACCUGCCUGUCUUGCCCACAGAAGGGCAGUUUUGAGGCUGCAUCGUUUUCAGAUGGGAAACCAAGGAUGAAGGAGAGGAGAAUGCCUUGCCCAAGACCUCAGAGCUAAAAUUCCCAGCAGCUGCGGUUUGUAUUCACCUGGGGCUGGCAGCGUCGGGACCACCAGGAGGCCAGGUGGAAAUGCUCGCCCUUGGGGUGCACCCCAGACUUGCUGCAUUGGAAGCCGUGCCACAACCAGCCCUCCAGGUGACUGAGGCUAACACAAGUUUGAGAACUACUGCCCUGGCCCUUGCUUUCUCAGCUGGGACCGAAGUUCUGCACAGCCCUGGGAGCCCCCGGAGGCGCAGCCUGCGACCCUGAGGGAUAAGCUCCAUCUCCAGAAGGAACGAGUGGAUGAGGUCAGAGCCCAGCAGUGACCUGUCUGUGCUGGGGUCCAUCCCCACCAACAAGGCCAGAGCUGCUGCAGCAGGUGGAACGGACAUGCCUCCUGCCAGAUGCGCUGGCUGGAUCAGCAACUCUCCAAGGCGGCCUCAUGCUGUGGACAUUAACCCAGGUGCCUCAACUUCUGGCUACUUUGUCUCCUUUCCAUUCCUCAUCCCCAGAGAAGGUUCUUCUGGCCAGAAGGAUGGCCUCUGAAAAUGUCAGAUCCGGAAGGCAUCCGUGCUAAUGGUGCUCAGCCCUCAGUCAAGUCGCCUGGCCAGUCAACCCCAUUAAAUGCGGAGCCAAAAGCCCACAGGCGGCAGUUGGGGCUCACAGACAGCCCAGGAGGCAGGAAGUCAGUGUGCUCCCACAAGGGUGGGUCCUCAGGGUGGGUGCAGGGUCCCUCUCAGGAUUGAGUUGCCAGGCGGAGGCCACAUGGCUUCCAGUCAACCCCUUCUUCACACCUUUGGCUUUGGCGCAGGCAGGGUCUUCCCAGCUAUACCCUCCUGAGUGAGGUCACAGGUAAUACCACACAAGGGGCAGGCCGAGGUGUGUGUUUCACGACUUAUGCCACUUCCUCGCUGCAUGGGACCCAGACAAAGGUAACCUAGAGCUGAGAAACGCAUGUCUGCAAAAACGGGGCCACUGGAGUUCAGGCAAGAGAGGCCAAAAUCCUACCUAGGAUGCUGGGGCCAAUCAGCCCGUUAUGGAGCAUCCUGAAAAGCGAGGCCACCACAAUACCAAAGGACUAGAGGAACCGCCACACACACCAUCCAAACAAUCUGCCAACCUUUCUCACUGACCCCAAAUACUGGGAUAUUAUCCAGUGUAAAUUUGUAGGCAAAAGAAUGAACUCACGUGGUUUUAUCAUAUUUUUAUUCAUGGAGAUUGACCAUUUUCACGUAUUUGC